CGCGUUGUAGCCUAGUGGUUAGCGCUGCUGUUUUAGAAAUAUGCAUCGCGGGUUCGAACCCCACUGGGGUCA